rnacentral:lncRNA from 1 species
AUUGUGGGAUUGGAUGAGUCUCAAGAUGGACAACCGGGAUGUUGCAGGAAAGGCUAACCGGUGGUUUGGGGUUGCUCCCCCUAAAUCUGGAAAAAUGAACAUGAACAUCCUUCACCAGGAAGAGCUCAUCGCUCAGAAGAAACGGGAAAUUGAAGCCAAAAUGGAACAGAAAGCCAAGCAGAAUCAGGUGGCCAGCCCUCAGCCCCCACAUCCUGGCGAACGCCCCGACCAGUGCGCCCAGCGCCCCUCCCAGCACACCCACCCCCAGCGCUGGGAAGAGGUCCCUGCUCAUCAGCAGGCGGACAGGCCUGGGGCUGGCCAGCCUGCCGGGCCCUGUGAAGAGCUACUCCCACGCCAAGCAGCUGCCCGUGGCGCACCGCCCGAGUGUCUUCCAGUCCCCUGACGAGGACGAGGAGGAGGACUAUGAGCAGUGGCUGGAGAUCAAAGUGUGUCUCACCAAGACAGUGAGACCGACUCCCCCCUCGUCAUGGUGUUUUGUGCCUGGACUCGGGACGCCCGACAGCCUCCUGCAUCU